CCUACGGGUGGCAGCAGUGGGGAAUAUUGGACAAUGGGGGCAACCCUGAUCCAGCCAUGCCGCGUGUGUGAAGAAGGCCCUCGGGUUGUAAAGCACUUUCAGUGAGGAAGAACGCCUGGUGGUUAAUACCCAUCAGGAAAGACAUCACUCACAGAAGAAGCACCGGCUAACUCCGUGCCAGCAGCCGCGGUAAUACGGAGGGUGCGAGCGUUAAUCGGAAUUACUGGGCGUAAAGCGCGCGUAGGUGGCUUGAUAAGCCGGUUGUGAAAGCCCCGGGCUCAACCUGGGAACGGCAUCCGGAACUGUCGAGCUAGAGUGCAGGAGAGGAAGGUAGAAUUCCCGGUGUAGCGGUGAAAUGCGUAGAGAUCGGGAGGAAUACCAGUGGCGAAGGCGGCCUUCUGGACUGACACUGACACUGAGGUGCGAAAGCGUGGGUAGCAAACAGGAUUAGAUACCCUGGUAGUC
rnacentral:rRNA from 1 species